GCUGGGCGUGGUGGCUCACGCUUGUAAUCCCAGCACUUUGGGAGGCCGAGGCAGGUGGAUCAUCUGAGGUCAGGAGUUUAAGACCAGCCUGACCAACAAGGUGAAACCCUGUCUCUA
rnacentral:SRP_RNA from 1 species